rnacentral:pre_miRNA from 1 species
GGGUGCUCCUUCGAAAUCGUGCUAUUUCAAAAUAAAAUGCCCUGUGUAACCAUGUUAUUUUGAGAGAAAACCCUUCUCUCGAAAUAACUGGUAAACCUCAUUGUAUGAGGAAUAACAGUUAUUUCGAGAGAAGGGUUUUCUCUCGAAAUAACGUGGUUAUACCGGCGUUUUAUUUCAAAACAGCACGAUUUCGAAAUAGUGCUC